UACGUAGGGUGCAAGCGUUGUCCGGAUUCACUGGGUGUAAAGGGUGCGCAGGCGGGCUCUUAAGUCAAAGGUGAAAUCUCUCGGCUUAACCGAGAAAUUGCCUUUGAUACUGAGAGCCUUGAGUACGGGAGAGGGAGAUGGAAUUCCAGGUGUAGCGGUGAAAUGCGUAGAUAUCUGGAGGAACACCGGAGGCGAAGGCGGUCUCCUGGCCCGUUACUGACGAUCAGGCACGAAAGCGUGGGGAGCAAACAGG
rnacentral:rRNA from 1 species